CCUACGGGCGGCAGCAGUGAGGAAUAUUGGUCAAUGGACGAGAGUCUGAACCAACCAAGUAGCGUGAAGGAUGACUGCCCUAUGGGUUGUAAACUUCUUUUAUAUGGGAAUAAAAUGUUCCACGUGUGGGAUUUUGUAUGUACCAUAUGAAUAAGGAUCGGCUAACUCCGUGCCAGCAGCCGCGGUAAUACGGAGGAUCCGAGCGUUAUCCGGAUUUAUUGGGUUUAAAGGGAGCGUAGGUGGAUUGUUAAGUCAGUUGUGAAAGUUUGCGGCUCAACCGUAAAAUUGCAGUUGAAACUGGCAGUCUUGAGUACAGUAGAGGUGGGCGGAAUUCGUGGUGUAGCGGUGAAAUGCUUAGAUAGCACGAAGAACUCCGAUUGCGAAGGCAGUUCACUGGACUGCAACUGACACUGAGGCUCGAAAGUGUGGGUAUCAAACAGGAUUAGAUACCCGUGUAGUC
rnacentral:rRNA from 1 species